CCAAUCCCAACCUAGUAAGUAAGGAGACAGGACCCUUGGGGCCUGCUGCGGGAUGCACUUUCCCCAGCCACAACACUUUAAAACCCACACUGCUCAGGGGUGAAGUCUGGAGAUUCAGAAAUAUAUACAGGAGAGGAAAGAGGAAUGACUGGUCUCUCCAUCUGGCAGCUAAGGGACCUAGGCUAGCCUGCUUUUGACUUUAUUUGAGGGGUUUCCUUUUUUUUAAGCAGAUAGCUUUGUGAGUCCCCAAAGUUCUGGAAAUCUACUGUUAGCAUCAUCUACUAGUAAAAUACUUCCUCGUUUCACCCCCAGCAGAAAAACAAGAAAGCAACAAUAGUUUUGUUUUUUUUUUACUGUAAUUCCAAGGAUUUGUUAAUGAAAUUAGGAUUAUAAGAGAAUGAAGAGUUUAUUCUUCUAAAUAGGCAGUCAAGCUUCCCUAGAACUGAAUCUGAGCAAAUCAGAAUGGCUGACUGAAGGCCAAGAUUGGUACAAAUCCCCAGUUCCUUUGGCCUGAGCCAAGUGUUGAUACUGUCAACCCAAUAACUUCCCCAGUUUCUGUCCCCACCAACUGGAAUUGAACCCAAUGAGCGAGACAUGAAGAACUAGAAGGAGAGGCACAGGCAUUAUGUAUGUUGUGCUCUUCUCAGCAGAACUGCAUGACAGAGGAACUCCUCCCCUAAGAAAGAAGCCCAGCUACAGAUUUGGACCAUCACAGAAGUUUGCUGAACCCUGCUCUAGGCAGCCCUCUAAGAUUCAGAGAAGACACCAACUGGAAUUAUUGAAAGACAGAAUUCACCUGGGAAUUUCCUUUGCUAUAGAAAUAAUAAAUCUAAUUACUGUUCUAUCCUAUAUUUAGUCUGUAUAUACUUAUAUAAGCAUAUGCUUUUUCCAUUAAUAGAAUGUGAACUCCUAAGAACAAGGAUUGCUUGAUCCUUUGUCUUUGUAUCCCCAAUGCCUUGCACAAUGUUGCUAUGUUGUGAGUUCUUAAUAGAUGUUUGUUGAUUGACUCAUUACUUGCUGAAGUCAAAUAUUACUUUAUUUUCCCAGAAUAUGCUUUGAUGUCAGUUGAUGUGUUUUUCAGAAUUUGAAGACAGAUUUCCUGAGCCCUGUUAUCAUGGAAUGGUUUCAUUCCAGCCUGAACAAUUCAUUGUCUCUUCUUCCCUGAAGUGAUGAGGUGCCUGCAGACUAAUCAUGUAAAUACAAACAACUCUCUCCUCUCAUGCCUACUCCAGUACUGCUCUGGGUUGCUAGACUCACCUUGUGAGAUGCCCCCUGUCUCAAGAAGGUCAGUUAGAGAUGAAUAAGGUCCCCUGGCAACAGCUGACUUCUCUUUUAUGAACUGCUUGUAUCUAUCGCCAUAUGGCAGAUUAUUUAUUUGCUUUUUGCCUGCACUAAAGAAUCACUCCAGACAUUGAGAGUCAGGAGGAAAAAAAAGCAUCAAGGUGUUCAGCAUUCAUUUUUUGAAAAUUGUUCAAGUU
rnacentral:lncRNA from 1 species